AUUGAGUCCAGUGCUUAAGGGACGGCCCUGCGGCUCCACAAUGUCAAAGCCAGCACUGUCAGGUUUUGAGCUACAGGACGACAUAGGGAUGUGAUGGUAGAUGUGAGGUAAAUGAAACUUUUAAGCAGGGUGGAGGGAAGGGGGACCACUGAAAAGAUUAAUUGACUUUCUGCAGAGCUUCACUUAUCCUCCACUGGCACCUUUGGCUUGAAGGUCAGAGGCCAAGUUAUGCUACAAAACAGCACUUCCAGAGAGGGGGUAAUCAAUCAGUUGCUCAAGGACACUUUGGUAUUACGAGGACCUGAACAUUGGCUGUCUGGUUUAAGGAUGGCCAGGGAUUAUGGCUCUAAAGGGACAACUUCUGGUAAAAAUGGAAAGAGAGAGAGUGAGAGCAUAGUUUGUGAUUGGUUGCCAUCUAGUGGCUUUGACAAGCACCUGCUGCCACAUUAUGAUGGAUGGAGAGGAGGACACAGUAACUGAACUCUUACCACCUAAAACUGUAUUACAUUUCACACUAAUCAAAGACAAUGCAAAUUAUAUAGAUUUCCUCCACCAUUCAUAGUUAUUAGUCAUCCUCUUUUAUUGAUUUUAACAUGUACAAUUUGGCUGAAUUUUCAAAUGGAAAACAAUUAAAUAUCUGAAAAAAACUCAUUGUUACCAUUUUGUGGUGAAGCAAGUCAAGGAAGCUGAAAGUAUUUUAUAGUAUUUCCUGGACUGCCAACAUUCAUCAGUAUCUGACACAGAUUUUUUGUAUGAAAUGAGAAUCAGUUCUUCAUGUUUGGAAACAGUUUCUUUUGGGUGCAUCCUUGCGAAUUGUGUAUAAAACUACAUUGAUGUGACAGCUGCACAGACUGGACUGAGCACAGUGACUUCUAUGGGACACUUUUCAUACAUUUUUCCAUAUUGUGAUGUGAGGGUAGUGAAAUCUUUGAAACCUUUCACAUUUAUUUGAAUAUCACACAUGAGCGUUUCAUAACGCAGCAUUUAAUGUUAUUGUACAAAACAGAAUUUUAAAGAUAGAGUAGUUUGUUAUAUGUAAAUGCCUUUUCAUGUUAUAUGUCUUUGUCUACUAAUCUGUGCCUGUCUUGAACUAUACCUACAGUAUUUAACUCGUUAUCUUGCCUCACGUCACCCCUCAUAAUUUAUUUUCUACUAUGCUCAAACAGCCUUGAUUACAUUUUAUAAGCUCUAUAAGAUCUUUGAGGGGCCAAAAUUUGAUUAUUGUGAGGAUGUAAUGCUGAAAUUGCACUGUACUAAUACAUCUUUUUCACUGAUGACAUUUUGACAUGUCAUAGUAAGAAAAGCACAGGUGUAAAUAAUAAAAUUAAUGAUGGCUGAAUUCCAUUUAGCUGCUUCAGUUUCUGGGUCCUGGUAUUACGCAUGUUGGCUCACUGUCAUAGCUUACUGGGACACUUGAAUAGAACGGUGCCAUCGUUCAUGACAUUAGAAACACCUGUGCGUUUCCUCCUAUGACAAGUCAAAAUGUCUGCUGUGAAAAAGGCCUGUUGUUAUGUAGGAAUGUAAGUUUACUUUCUGUGAUACACUUUGUUAAUCUCUAGGUAAGUACUCCAGGUAAAUGUUUAAAAUUUAAAAAACACUUCACUCAUUUCAGUGCUAGUUCCAUUAUUUUCCUUUAUUUGUAAAACUUUGGCAUAAUUUCAGUGAUUGGCCAGGUAUAGACAGUAUGUACACUCUGAGCAAUGGAUACACAACACAAAAUAAUAUGUACAAUGUCUCAAUAUAUCUGCAACCACAAUAUAUACAGUCUCACUGCUUGCCGAUAGUUGUACAACACUAUAUAUAUACAAUCUAACCUCUUUACUGGUGGUUUUGCAUGACAGUAUGUACAAUCUAAAUUAGUAAACAAUAUUUACAGCUUUACCUCGAACUUAUGGUUGUACAACGCAAUAUCUACAACCUUAUCUGCAUACUCAUAGCUGCAUUAGUCCCAGCUCCACCUCUUACAGUUGUGCAGUGCGUCACAACACAUACAGUCUGUGUAUAUGCAAACAUUAUAUGUACAGAAUUACUGUAUCUCUGCUACAGUGCUUAUUGGUUACACAUCACAAUAUGUUUUGUUUUACCUCUGACCAGUAAGUAUCAGUAUUAUUAUUAUUAUUAAAAUCUACAUUCCUACUGGUAAGUUGUACAACACUGUAACUGUACAACACAAAGUGUGCUACUCAUAUCUGCUAAACGCCCUGUUCAGUCUUACCUCGUAAUUGUGAUUGUACAACUUAUUAGAUACAAUCAGGGCAGCAGCAAUAGACAGUAUGUACAAUCCUCUGACACAGUGGUUCCCAAACAUUUUGGCUUUCAGACACUAACAGCAAACAGAAGCCGAAUGGCAACUACUUGACACACUCGAACACUCAAAGAAAGAUGAACUAUCACACUGAAUGCAGAGUUAAUAAUACAAAGGUGUUUAGGCUGCAGAGUUUUGCUAUGAGAGCCAUAUGAUGUGCUCCAGGUUUUCCUGCCUCUAUGACUACUCUUAAGCCAAAUAACAUUUUGAAUAUGUUAUGAAAAAACACAACAAACUACAACAUAAAUAGCUUCAUAGCUCACUGAUCCAUCUGAUCUGGGAAGUGCAGUAGUGAUAUAUUUAACAAUAAAUUGUAUAAGAGCCAAAGGCUGCAUUUAUGGAAGACAGCAAUACAUACAGUAAAAGUAUUAAGCAUAUUAUGAACAAUAAGACUUCAGUGGCAUUUUUAACUUAAGUAAUAAUUCCCUUUGGUAGGAUAUUUACAUUUUUAACAUGCAUAACUCUGUAGAAUUCAGAAGAUUGAUUGGAGGAAAAAUAUAAUCUAAAUGACAGUGCCUCAUUCAAAUAGAUGUUACUCUAACAUAUAUCUAAUGUUAGAAAUAUGUGAUAUGAGUUAUGACUGUGGAAGAUGGUAUUAAUGUUUGG